CAGUAGCCGCGGUAAUACGUAGGUGGCAAGCGUUGUCCGGAAUUAUUGGGCGUAAAGGGCUCGCAGGCGGUUUCUUAAGUCUGAUGUGAAAGCCCCCGGCUCAACCGGGGAGGGUCAUUGGAAACUGGGAAACUUGAGUGCAGAAGAGGAGAGUGGAAUUCCACGUGUAGCGGUGAAAUGCGUAGAGAUGUGGAGGAACACCAGUGGCGAAGGCGACUCUCUGGACUGUAACUGACGCUGAGGAGCGAAAGCGUGGGGAGCGAACAGGAUUAGAGACCCCAGUAGUCCCUGUCUCUUAUAC
rnacentral:rRNA from 1 species